UACGUAGGGUGCAAGCGUUAUCCGGAAUUAUUGGGCGUAAAGAGCGCGCAGGCGGUCGAUCAAGUCGCGUGUGAAAGCCCCCGGCUCAACUGGGGAGGGUCACGCGAUACUGAUCGACUCGAAGGCAGGAGAGGGUAGUGGAAUUCCCGGUGUAGUGGUGAAAUGCGCAGAUAUCAGGAAGAACACCUAUGGCGAAGGCAGCUCUCUGGGACGGUACUGACGCUGAGACGCGAAAGCGUGGGGAGCGAACAGG
rnacentral:rRNA from 1 species